rnacentral:rRNA from 1 species
GCACAACGCGAAGAACCUUACCACCUUUUGACAUGCCUGGACCGCCACAGAGAUGUGGCUUUCCCUUCGGGGACUGGGACACAGGUGCUGCAUGGCUGUCGUCAGCUCGUGCCGUGAGAUGUUGGGUUAAGCCCCGCAACGAGCGCAACCCUCGCUGUUAGUUGCCACCAUUCAGUUAGGCACUCUAACAGGACUGCCGGAGUUAAUCCGGAGGAAGGCGGGGAUGACGUCAAGUCCUCAUGGCCCUUACAAGGUGGGCUACACACGUGCUACAAUGGCGACUACAGAGGGUUGCAAUCCCGCGAGGGGGAGCCAAUCCCUAAAAGUCGUCUCAGUUCGGAUUGUUCUCUGCAACUCGAGAGCAUGAAGUUGGAAUCGCUAGUAAUCGCGGAUCAGCAUGCCGCGGUGAAUACGUUCCCGGGUCUUGUACACACCG